rnacentral:rRNA from 2 species
AGGUGUGAUCAUACCCGCACUAUUGCACCCGAUCCCAUCAGAACUCCGCAUUUAAGCGUGCUUUGGCGAGAGUACUUCUAGGAUGGGUGACCUCCUAGGAAGUACUCUUGUUGCACCUC